rnacentral:rRNA from 1 species
UACGGGGGGAGCAAGCGUUGUUCGGAUUUACUGGGCGUAAAGGGCGCGUAGGCGGCCAGUGCAAGUCAGUUGUGAAAUCUCCGAGCUUAACUCGGAAAGGUCAACUGAUACUGCUCGGCUAGAGUGCGGAAGGGGCAACUGGAAUUCCACGUGUAGCAGUGAAAUGCGUAGAGAUGUGGAGGAACACCGAUGGCGAAGGCAGCCUCCUGGGCCAGCACUGACGCUCAUGCACGAAAGCGUGGGGAUCAAACAGG